AGUGGCGAACGGGUGAAUAACACGUGGGUAACCUACCAUAUAGACAGGGACAACAGUUGGAAACGACUGCUAAUACCUGAUAACAUAAGCUAUCGCAUGAUAGGUUAUGGAAAGGGGCGUAUGCCUCACUAUGUGAUGGACCCGCGGCGCAUUAGCUAGUUGGUGAGAUAAAAGCUCACCAAGGCGACGAUGCGUAGCCGACCUGAGAGGGUGAACGGCCACAUUGGGACUGAGACACGGCCCAGACUCCUACGGGAGGCAGCAGUAGGGAAUUUUCCACAAUGGGGGCAACCCUGAUGGAGCAAUGCCGCGUGAGAGAAGAAGGCCUUCGGGUUGUAAAUCUCUGUUGUAAGGGAAGAAAAUUGAUAAGAGGAAAUGCUUAUUAAGUGACGGUACCUUACCAGAAAGCCACGGCUAACUACGUGCCAGCAGCCGCGGUAAUACGUAGGUGGCGAGCGUUAUCCGGAAUUAUUGGGCGUAAAGGGUGCGCANGCGGUUGNNAA
rnacentral:rRNA from 1 species